CCGCCGGGGCGCGAGCCGAUUGCAGAUCGCCGGGCUUCGCGAAGCUGGGGUGCGAGCAACCGCGCACCUCUCCUCCGCGGCCCCCUCCCGCCCUCCUCCUCUCCGGGAGCCUACCUGCGCCCCUCAUCCUCCGCAGCUGCCGGUGAUUCACGAGUUCCAGAGAUGCCUCAAUUGUGUGGUGGCCAGCUAUGUGCUCAGUUCAAAGCACCUAAGUACAAUGAUCUGUUUGACUGAAUGAGUUUUCUUCUCUUAAGUUAUUAUUUGUGGUACAUGAGUCCUGGAAUAAUUUUUCUUCCCAAGUAGUAAUUUUUCUGCCUAAGUAGUAAAUUAUGCA